UAUGGCUCAGAUUGAACGCUGGCGGCAGGCCUAACACAUGCAAGUCGAGCGGAAACGAGUUAUCUGAACCUUCGGGGAACGAUAACGGCGUCGAGCGGCGGACGGGUGAGUAAUGCCUAGGAAAUUGCCCUGAUGUGGGGGAUAACCAUUGGAAACGAUGGCUAAUACCGCAUAACACCUUCGGGUCAAAGAGGGGGACCUUCGGGCCUCUCGCGUCAGGAUAUGCCUAGGUGGGAUUAGCUAGUUGGUGAGGUAAUGGCUCACCAAGGCGACGAUCCCUAGCUGGUCUGAGAGGAUGAUCAGCCACACUGGAACUGAGACACGGUCCAGACUCCUACGGGAGGCAGCAGUGGGGAAUAUUGCACAAUGGGCGCAAGCCUGAUGCAGCCAUGCCGCGUGUGUGAAGAAGGCCUUCGGGUUGUAAAGCACUUUCAGUCGUGAGGAAGGUAGUGUAGUUAAUAGCUGCAUUAUUUGACGUUAGCGACAGAAGAAGCACCGGCUAACUCCGUGC
rnacentral:rRNA from 1 species